UACAGAGGGUGCAAGCGUUAAUCGGAAUUACUGGGCGUAAAGCGCGUGUAGGCGGUUCGUUAAGUCGUCUGUGAAAUCCCACGGCUCAACCAUGGAAGUGCAGACGAUACUGGCAAACUCGAGUCCUGGAGAGGGUGGCGGAAUUCCCAGUGUAGAGGUGAAAUUCGUAGAUAUUGGGAGGAACACCGGUGGCGAAGGCGGCCACCUGGACAGGUACUGACGCUGAGACGCGAAAGCGUGGGGAGCGAACAGG
rnacentral:rRNA from 1 species